UGUUGUGUGUGUAAUUCUGUG
rnacentral:misc_RNA from 1 species